GACGAACGCUGGCGGCGUGCUUAACACAUGCAAGUCGAACGCUGAAGCCUGCAGCUUGCUGUGGGUGGAUGAGUGGCGAACGGGUGAGUAACACGUGAGUAACCUGCCCCUGACUCUGGGAUAAGCCCGGGAAACUGGGUCUAAUACCGGAUAUGACCAUUCUCCGCAUGGAGUGGUGGUGGAAAGUUUUUCGGUUGGGGAUGGGCUCGCGGCCUAUCAGCUUGUUGGUGGGGUGAUGGCCUACCAAGGCGACGACGGGUAGCCGGCCUGAGAGGGCGACCGGCCACACUGGGACUGAGACACGGCCCAGACUCCUACGGGAGGCAGCAGUGGGGAAUAUUGCACAAUGGGGGAAACCCUGAUGCAGCGACGCCGCGUGGGGGAUGACGGCCUUCGGGUUGUAAACCUCUUUCAGUAGGGAAGAAGCCUUCGGGUGACGGUACCUGCAGAAGAAGUACCGGCUAACUAC
rnacentral:rRNA from 1 species